CUGCUGUGAAAAGAGUUGAAUAUCCCUUUUGAGUUCAAACAGGACCUUCAAUUGCGGAAGAAAAAAACUCUAAACUGACGUUGUGAGAGACUGACCAACAAUCCCCAUCUUUUCGAGUAUGAGUGAUCAAUGUCACGGAUGAGAAAAUUUUAAUCCAUGGGCCCAUUGAUAUUGCACCUAUGACUAAAAAUCAUUGCUUUAAAUAAAAUAAAUAUUAAUUAGUAAUGCAAAAACGC
rnacentral:lncRNA from 1 species